AGCCCACAUACCCCAUCAGAUAUAACACCGUAGCUAACCGUAAGAACCCUAGGAAAGAUAGCAGCCUUCACAUCUUCUUCUUCAGCAAAAGAGACAGCAGACUUAAUCCUCAAGAAAAGAAGAAGCAGCCGAACUCCCCCUCGCUGUCCAACCACCGAAUUUGGCCACCAGCAGAUCUGGUUGGCCACCACGAUAGUCGAUAGCUUCAGAUCCGCUCUUCUCUUCUCUCACAUCAUCAUACUCUUGAUGAUAGUAUACAGGGAAGACAAAAAUUCGCUGGAAAUACCAUGAAAUCCGGCGGAACUCCAUGAAGAUCAGUGACCCUCUCUUUAAUGUUUUCCAGUGACUCUUUCCUUCCCAUUUGUGACUAAAACAAUGACAAGAAAUAGAGAUCAGUGAGGUGUCCGGUUCAAGGUUUUUGUUUGCGGAUCUGAUUCGUCACGGAGGCUCGACGUCGUUGCUAUAUUAUCUAGCUUAUUGGAGGUUUUUGUUUAUCAAUAUAUUUGUUUAAAGGUUUGAUCGACAAAGUGACAAAAUGUCAAAGAUCGACUCAAAAAGGAGUGAAACCUGCUGAAGUACCAAAGACCAAGAGAAUUGAAGAAUAAAGGGCCUAGUGCGGACCGCACAACAGUGACCGCGGCCGCACUAGGAGGUUCAAAGACUUGACAUAUUCAAGCUAAAAGGCAUGCGACCGCGGUAGGAUCUUCGCGGUCCACGGUGGAGCUUCGCGGCCGCAGUCCUGCACUGUGCGGUCCGCGUUCAUAAGGUUCAGGGAAGGGCAUUUUUGAUCACACGGUCCGCGGUCACGACUGUGCGGACCGCGCCAGUUGCCAUCGUGGCCGCGGUACACUGCCACGCGGUCCGCGUCCCCCAACUCAAGUCAUCAAACAGUUGAAGUUCAAGAGCCAAUGCGGCCGCGGUCUAUUUUGUGCAGCCCGCACUGACCCCGUAGGGGUAUUUUUUUCCAGUUUUUCUAACCUAGUAUAAAUAGAACAUUUUACUAAUUUUUUAGGCAUCGAUUUAUCUAGGAACUAGAGACAAAAGCUGCAGUUGGUGUUGUAGCCAUUUUUGGCAUAUUUUGCUUUCCAUUAAAUAUAGAUUACUGUAGUUUCUUCUUAGUAA